rnacentral:tRNA from 1 species
GGAGGGGUGGCCGAGCGGUCAAUGGCAGCAGACUGUAAAUCUGCCGGUGUACACCUACGUUGGUUCAAAUCCAACCCCCUCCACCA